GCGCAAGCCUGACGGAGCAACGCCGCGUGGGUGACGAAGGAUUUCGGUAUGUAAAGCCCUUUCAGUCGGGACGAGUCGCAGACGGUACCGACAGAAGAAGCAUCGGCUAAAUACGUGCCAGCAGCCGCGGUAAGACGUAGGAUGCGAGCGUUGUCCGGAAUUAUUGGGCGUAAAGCGUACGUAGGCGGUCAUCUAAGUCUGGGGUUAAAGACCAAGGCUCAACCCUGGGAGUGCCCUGGAUACUGGGUGACUGGAGGACGGCAGAGGAAAGUGGAAUUCCCAGUGUAGCGGUGAAAUGCGUAGAUAUUGGGAGGAACACCAGUGGCGAAAGCGACUUUCUGGGCCGUUCCUGACGCUGAGGUACGAAAGCCAGGGGAGCAAACGGGAUUAGAUACCCCGGUAGUCCUGGCCGUAAACGAUGGAUACUACGUGUCAUCGGUAUCAACCCCGGUGGUGCCGUAGCUCACGCGUUAAGUAUCCCGCCUGGGGAGUACGGUCGCAAGGCUGAAACUCAA
rnacentral:rRNA from 1 species